rnacentral:rRNA from 1 species
GACGAACGCUGGCGGCGUGCUUAACACAUGCAAGUCGAACGGUGAAGGGACUGGUUUUGCUGGUCCUGGAUGAGUGGCGAACGGGUGAGUAACACGUGAGUAACCUGCCCCCUUCUUCUGGAUAACCGCAUGAAAGUGUGGCUAAUACGGGAUAUUCUGGGUCUGUCGCAUGGUGGGCCUGGGAAAGAUUGCGCCUUUAUUGGUGUUUUUGGUGGGGGAUGGGCUGGCGGCCUAUCAGCUUGUUGGGGGGGUGAUGGCCUACCAAGGGGGUGACGGGUAGCCGGCCUGUGAGGGUGGACGGUCACACUAGGACUGAGACCCGGCCCAGACUCCUACGGGAGGCAGCAGUGGGACAUAUUGCACAAUGGGCGCAAGCCUGAUGCAGCGACGCCGCGUGAGGGAUGGAGGCCUUCGGGGUGUGAACCUCUUUCGCCAGUGAAGCAGGCCUGCCUCUUUUUGUGGGUGGGUUGACGGUAGCUGGAUAAGAAGCGCCGGCUAACUACGUG